rnacentral:rRNA from 1 species
GACAGAGGGGGCAAGCGUUGCUCGGAAUUACUGGGCGUAAAGGGCGCGUAGGCGGGAUGGCGAGUCGGUCGUGAAAUCCCUCGGCUCAACUGAGGAUCGUCGAUCGAUACUGCCGUUCUUGAGGAUUGCAGAGGAGACUGGAAUUCCCGGUGUAGCGGUGAAAUGUGUAGAGAUCGGGAGGAACACCGGUGGCGAAGGCGGGUCUCUGGGCAAUUCCUGACGCUGAGGCGCGAAAGCGUGGGGAGCAAACGGG